AUUGAACGCUGGCGGCAUGCCUUACACAUGCAAGUCGAACGGUAACGGGCCUUCGGGUGCCGACGAGUGGCGAACGGGUGAGUAAUACAUCGGAACGUGCCCGAUCGUGGGGGAUAACGAGGCGAAAGCUUUGCUAAUACCGCAUACGAUCUACGGAUGAAAGCAGGGGACCGCAAGGCCUUGCGCGGACGGAGCGGCCGAUGGCAGAUUAGGUAGUUGGUGGGAUAAAAGCUUACCAAGCCGACGAUCUGUAGCUGGUCUGAGAGGAUGAUCAGCCACUCUGGGACUGAGACACGGCCCAGACUCCUACGGGAGGCAGCAGUGGGGAAUUUUGGACAAUGGGCGCAAGCCUGAUCCAGCCAUGCCGCGUGCAGGAUGAAGGCCUUCGGGUUGUAAACUGCUUUUGUACGGAACGAAAAGCCUUCUUUUAAUACAGGAGGGUCAUGACGGUACCGUAAGAAUAAGCACCGGCUAACUACGUG
rnacentral:rRNA from 1 species